rnacentral:rRNA from 1 species
GAACGGCUGCUAAUACCGAAUACGAUCUUUUCGUCGCAUGACGGAAAGAGAAAAGGAUGGCCUCUAUACAAAGCUAUCGCCGAAGGAGGGGUUUGCGUCUGAUUAGCUGGUUGGAGGGUAACGGCCCAACAAGGCGAUGAUCAGUAGCCCCGGUCUGAGAGGAUGAACGGCCACAUUGGGACUGAGACACGGCCCAGACUCCUACGGGGGGCAGCAGUGGGGAAUCUUCCGCAAUGGACGAAAGUCUGACGGAGCAACGCCGCGUGAGUGAAGAAGGUCUUCGGAUUGUAAAGCUCUGUUAUACGGGACGAAAAAGACGGAUGCCAACAGUAUCCGUCCGUGACGGUACCGUAAGAGAAAGCCACGGCUAACUACGUGCCAGCAGCCGCGGUAAU